UUACAGCCAUAUCACAUUGAAAUACCAGUUCUCAUACAAUCACCCAAGUUAAGCAUCAUUGAGUCUGGUCAGUGCCUAGAUGGGUGACUGUUUGGGAAUAUUGGGUGCUGUAAG